rnacentral:tRNA from 1 species
UCUAAUAUGGCAGAAUAAUGUAAUGGAAUUAAGACCCAUAAAUAAAGUUUAUUAAAUCUUUUGUUAGAA